rnacentral:sRNA from 1 species
GUCUGGACCUAGCUGGAAAGCAAAGUAAAAGUUUCAAGAUGAAAUACUUAGCUCUCGUUGUAGCGCUCGUUAUUGUCAGUUACAUUCAUCUAUCAGAAUGUCAAUCAGAGUUAACGGAGGAUAUACCCAAAUUUCGAUCGCUAAUGUUGGCUGUGCCCACUUUUAAAGCGGUACUCUUGGGGCUAGGUGUUUUUAAACGUGUUCGUGGUGUCGCACAGGAGUUCCUUAAAAUUUUAAAUAAGUUUCUUCAAGAAGGCGAUUGGGCGCCAUUGAUUACGGAUUUAGUGGAGAUGAUAAAAGUUUCAACGAACAUCAUUACCGUUUGUCUUAGUGAAAAUUUAUUGAAAUGCGUCAGGGUGAAAUAUGAAGGAGUUAAGUCGCUGAUUUCCCUGACAAUACAAAUAACUACGAAAAUUAAAGGAAUUUGCGCAUCGGGAUGUGAAAAUGAAACAACAAGCAUCCUUUCAAAAUACGUUAAUAUUUUUAACACGAUUUCCCAAAAAAUGUCUACAACUAAGGAAAGUUAAUUUAUACACUUAUAUAUACAUAAUUAAAAUUAAACAAGUAAGAUUUGUGUAGUCGAGUCAGCUCGACUUCGAUAUACCCUGAACCCAGCUGUUAAAUAUAUUCUAAAAUUAUUGCCAAAUA